rnacentral:lncRNA from 10 species
CCACUCUGGUCCAGGCGCCCCUGCCCUGGGCGGCGCGCUCCAGGUGGCGGGUGGGGGCGGCGGUGCAGAUGUGAGCCCCAGCGCGCCCCUCUGGCUCCCCCUCCGUCGGUCCCCUUCUUCCUCUCUCCCUCCCUCCUCCGCCGCUCACCUACACCCACCCACCUCUCCACUGCCGUUGACCCCGAGCGCGCCCACGCCGCGUGUGUUCUCAUUCGCACCCAUAUGUGGGCUAGCACCUGAGGAUGGAAGCGGCGAGGAGCCGGGCGGUGUGUGGGCUUUGCUGUUUCGUGUUUGAAGGAGAUCAUGGAAGGGUGUGCCUGGCUCACGCGGCUCCAUACUAUUGCCCAGUGUUUUCCGAGCAUCUCCAUCCUUGGCCGCAAGUGUCACCAGCUCCCCCUGUGAUGGUGAAAGGCAGUCAGGUUCCAACUAUGGGAGCCCACGCCCCGCCCAUGCCAACAUGAAUGCCAAUGCGGCCGCGGGACUGGCCCCUGAGCACAUCCCCACCCCGGGGGCCGCCCUGUCCUGGCAGGCGGCCAUCGACGCAGCCCGGCAGGCGAAGCUGAUGGGCAGCGCUGGCAACGCGACCAUCUCCACAGUCAGCUCCACGCAGCGGAAGCGGCAGCAAUAUGGGAAACCCAAGAAGCAGGGCAGCACCACGGCCACACGCCCGCCCCGAGCCCUGCUCUGCCUGACCCUGAAGAACCCCAUCCGGAGGGCCUGCAUCAGCAUUGUCGAAUGGAAACCAUUUGAAAUAAUUAUUUUACUGACUAUUUUUGCCAAUUGUGUGGCCUUAGCGAUCUAUAUUCCCUUUCCAGAAGAUGAUUCCAACGCCACUAAUUCCAACCUGGUAAGUCCACAGUCUUCAAGUCUCUGCUUUUUCACUCGAUGGAGAACUGCGUUCAGAUCACAUAGAUUCGUGAAAUGUGGGAGAGAAGUGAGACAUGUGUUUGGCAUGUGCAGAAGGCCUGCAGAGCUCACAUCCCGCGUGCUAUUUUACUCUUUAUUCAAAUCAGCACCUGUCUCAUCCCCGCCUGUUUUCCAAAAGAAUAUUCCGGUUAGGUGGUGGUGA